rnacentral:rRNA from 1 species
GUGAGGAAUAUUGGUCAAUGGGCGAGAGCCUGAACCAGCCAAGUAGCGUGCAGGAUGACGGCCCUAUGGGUUGUAAACUGCUUUUACACGGGGAUAAAGUGUGCGACGUGUCGUUCAUUGCAGGUACCGUGCGAAUAAGGACCGGCUAAUUCCGUGCCAGCAGCCGCGGUAAUACGGAAGGUCCGGGCGGUAUCCGGAUUUAUUGGGUUUACAGGGAGCGUAGGCCGUCUGUUAAGCGUGUUGUGAAAUGUGGAUGCUCAACAUCUGAAUUGCAGAGCGAACUGACCGACUUGAGUGCGCAGGAAGUAGGCGGAAUUCGUGGUGUAGCGGUGAAAUGCAUAGAUAUCACGCAGAACUCCGAUUGCGAAGGCAGCUUACUAAGCUACAACUGACACUGAAGCACGAAAGCGUGGGGAUCAAACAGGAUUAGAAACCCUGGUAGUCC